GCUCAGAGAGGGCAGGUGCUCACCAGGGUCACACAGGAAAGCAGUGGCCAAUGGGGACUAAGCCUGUGACGGGGCUCCCUCCAGAGCCCGCCUCUCAGGGAAGCUGUCGAGCCUUCUGUGAAGCCAGCAUCAGCCCGAGCAAGCAGUUUCGCUUUCUGUUUCUCAUCAUUGAGCAACGAGAAAACCGGAGCUUUAGGAAUGCCUCGAAAAACACACGCGUAAGUAACACUACUUCGUGCGGACAGUCCAAGGUGCGCUUUCCUUAACAUUUUACAGAAACACAUCUAUUCGUGAGUUUUUGUAGAGGAGAGAAGACAAUCUCUUCCAUAGGCCAUUCCGUGUUGGCCAGGUUCCUAAAGUUGUCUAAAAGGGGCAGCAUUUUGGUGUUUUCUACGUGCGUGGAAGCAGACCCUUUGGAAAUGGCGACCCCACCCCACCCCCGACUCCUUCUUUUCUUCCCUUUUCUGCCCGCUGAGCGAGGAUGUUGCUGUUCCCGGGCCUGACGACAACCUUUCUGAUGCUUUAAGAAUUCCCUGCUUGUUCGGAUCCCGGGUGCGGACGUGGCACCGCGUGGCAAGCCGUACUGUGGCAGGCGUCCCACAUAUGAAGUAGAGGAAGAUGGGCACGGAUGUUAGCUCAGGGCCAGUCUUCCUCAGUGAAAAGAGGAGGAUUAGCAGCAGAUGUUAGCUCAGGGCUAAUCUUCCAAAAAAAAAAAAAGGAAAAAAAAGACUCCCUUGCUUUGUGCUGCCCACAAUACGAUGUCAAAAACCACAUCAGAUCUCCAGAAAGCCGGGUGGCGCCAGAGCUGCCUUGGUGACAGGCCUGGACUGGCAGCUGGGCUCUCCUCACUCGAGGGCUCCGGGGGGCUGAGGUCUGACCCCUGAGGCCACGUGGCCCCAUCCAGGCCCACAGCCGGGAUCCGUGCCGUGCCCUGGCCGGGCUGCGGGGAAGAAGAACCAGCCUGAGCCACGCUGCGUUUGCAGUUGAGGAGUUGUCAGUCAGCGUGUUUGGGAUCUCGUUCUGCCUGAGUCUGAGGCUGGAGAUUCUGGGGUGCUCCGCUAGGGGACUGCUCUGGCUGGCCUGGCCCUGACCCAAGCAGGGGAUGUCAUCAGACAUCUUCUGUGAUGGUUUCUAGGCUUCGGGCGUGGGCUCCCAAGAGACCAGGAGAAGCCAAAGUUCUUGAACUUGCCAUGGUUGGGAAGGGAGGAGAUACUGGGGAACUGAAGUACACAGAGCCACCAAAAACCA
rnacentral:lncRNA from 1 species